rnacentral:rRNA from 1 species
GAUGAACGCUAGCGGCAGGCUUAACACAUGCAAGUCGAGGGGCAGCAAUAAGUAAGCAAUACAUAGUUGGCGACCGGCGGACGGGUGCGUAACGCGUAUGCAACCUACCUAUAACAGGGGGAUAAUCGAGAGAAAUUUUGUUUAAUACCCCGUAACACUAAGAGAGGCAUCUUUAUUAGUUGAAAGAUUUUAUUGGUUAUAGAUGGGCAUGCGUAGCAUUAGUUAGAUGGUGAGGUAACGGCUCACCAUGACUACGAUGCUUAGGGGAACUGAGAGGUUUAUCCCCCACACUGGUACUGAGACACGGACCAGACUCCUACGGGAGGCAGCAGUGAGGAAUAUUGGUCAAUGGACGGAAGUCUGAACCAGCCAUGCCGCGUGCAGGAAUACGGCUCUAUGAGUUGUAAACUGCUUUUGUAAGAGGGUAAAAGAUAGCACGUGUGCUAAAUUGAAAGUAUCUUACGAAUAAGGAUCGGCUAACUCCGUGCCAGCAGCCGCGGUAAUACGGAGGAUUCGAGCGUUAUCCGGAUUUAUUGGGUUUAAAGGGUGCGUAGGUUGUUUAAUAAGUUAGUGGUAAAAGACUAUGGCUUAACCAUAGCACGCCAUUAAGACUGUUAGACUAGAGAAUAGGUGCAGCUGGCGGAAUGUGUAGUGUAGCGGUGAAAUGCAUAGAUAUUACACAGUACACCGAUUGCGAAGGCAGCUGGCUAAUCUAUAUCUGACACUGAGGCACGAAAGCGUGGGGAUCAAACGGGAUUAGAUACCCCGGUAGUCCACGCUGUAAACGAUGAUAACUCGACGUUGUUAGUUUUCUAUCAGUGUCUAAGCGAAAGCGAUAAGUUAUCCACCUGGGGAGUACGACCGCAAGGUUGAAACUCAAAGGAAUUGACGGGGGCCCGCACAAGCGGAGGAACAUGUGGUUUAAUUCGAUGAUACGCGAGGAACCUUACCCGGGCUUGAAAGUUAGUGAAUAAUUUAGAGAUAAGUUAGUCCUUCGGGACACGAAACUAGGUGCUGCAUGGUUGUCGUCAGCUCGUGCUGUGAGGUGUCGGGUUAAGUCCCAUAACGAGCGCAACCCCUAUCGAUAGUUACCAGCGAGUUAAGUCGGGGACUCUAUCGAGACUGCCAGUGUAAGCUGUGAGGAGGGUGGGGAUGACGUCAAAUCAGCACGGCCCUUACGUCCGGGGCGACACACGUGUUACAAUGGGUGGUACAGAGAGCAGCGAGACAGUGAUGUUGAGCGAAUCUUGAAAGCCACUCUCAGUUCGGAUUGGAGGCUGAAACUCGCCUCCAUGAAGUUGGAUUCGCUAGUAAUCGCAUAUCAGCCAUGAUGCGGUGAAUACGUUCCCGGGCCUUGUACACACCGCCCGUCAAGCCAUGGAAGUUGGGGGUGCCUGAAGUAUGUUACCGAGAGGGACGUCCUAGGGCAAAACCGAUAACUGGGGC